UGGUGGAGUGAUCUGUCUGGUUAAUUCCGAUAACGAACGAGACCUCAGCCUGCUAACUAGAUCUUCUUAGAGGGACUUCCUGCUCGCGUGGGAGGAAGUGAGGCAAUAACA
rnacentral:rRNA from 1 species